GCAGAGAUGCUUUGGUGCCUUCGGGAACUGUGAGACAGGUGCUGCAUGGCUGUCGUCAGCUCGUGUUGUGAAAUGUUGGGUUAAGUCCCGCAACGAGCGCAACCCUUAUCCUUUGUUGCCAGCGGUUAGGCCGGGAACUCAAAGGAGACUGCCAGUGAUAAACUGGAGGAAGGUGGGGAUGACGUCAAGUCAUCAUGGCCCUUACGACCAGGGCUACACACGUGCUACAAUGGCAUAUACAAAGAGAAGCGACCUCGCGAGAGCAAGCGGACCUCAUAAAGUAUGUCGUAGUCCGGAUUGGAGUCUGCAACUCGACUCCAUGAAGUCGGAAUCGCUAGUAAUCGUAGAUCAGAAUGCUACGGUGAAUACGUUCCCGGGCCUUGUACACACCGCCCGUCACACCAUGGGAGUGGGUUGCAAAAGAAGUAGGUAGCUUAACCUUCGGGAGGGCGCUUACCACUUUGUGAUUCAUGACUGGGGUGAAGUCGUAACAAGGUAACCGUAGGGGAACCUGCGGUUGGAUCACCUCCUUA
rnacentral:rRNA from 3 species